UGAGAGUUAUUUCCCUUCCAAUCAUGGCGACGCCCUUGUGCAAACUGUCUCCCUGACUGACAUUUAUGGAAGGUUAGACUUUUUCCAGCGAGUUUGAGCUAAUACAAUUGUGAAAAGAAACAGCAGUGACUAGGCAUUGCUUUUUAAGCAAACCUGGAGCUGUAGAACUGAUGGUGACAGAGGUUUUUGCUAGCUCAAUCCUUUGAUUUACAGUUGUCCAAGUGUGAAAGUGUCGGUGCAUGAUGUGGUCCCCUUUCCAAGCUGUGAGCCGUCUCCUGGUACAAUCUAGCAAGACCUGCUUGAGUCACUCCAAUUUAUUACAUAGACCAUUCACACAGGCCCUCUCUACUGCAGCAUCUUCCACAUUAUUUCACACCGAUCGACUUGUUGCAACAAAAAGUGUCAGUUUAACUACAAAGGUCUCUUCUCAUCCUUUCCAACUAAGAUCGACCAGUGGCAGUAACGUUCACCGUUCCCCAUUGCUGGUGAACUCACUCGGCCCACUAGUGACAAUCACACGUGGUUACAACGCCGCUCUCAGACCUCGACUUAUUUGUCCCGGCUGCUACUUUGUGUGGCGUCAUGGCAGGAAACACGUCGAAUGCAGCGAUCACCCACGGCAUAAACAAAUGAAGAAACUUGUGAAGCGAAAGAUUUGGAAAGAGGAUUAUUCCAAGGGCAAUGUUCAGAAAGCCAUGCAGUGGUACCGAGUGGAGCCUCGGCAGUGCGCUCGUACAGUGGACAGAACAGCUAUGGCGCAUAACUGGGUGGCUGGAAGAAUUGGGAAAGAGAUUUAGCAUUUGGUGGAAGAAUAAGAAUGUUAAGUCAAGGUGAUUUUUUAGCAUUUGUCAGUGUCAUUAUUGAGGACAUUGUAGAGAAGAAUAAAAGUUGUUUGCUUUUCAAAGUUUUUAAAAA